rnacentral:rRNA from 1 species
UACGGAGGAGGCGAGCGUUAUCCGGAAUUAUUGGGCGUAAAGCGUCCGUAGGUGGCUAGUCAAGUCUGCGGUCAAAGACUGGGGCUUAACCCUGGAAAGGCCGUGGAAACUGACGAGCUAGAGUGCAGUAGGGGUAGAGGGAAUUCCCGGUGUAGCGGUGAAAUGCGUAGAGCUCGGGAAGAACAUCGGUGGCGAAAGCGCUCUACUGGACUGCAACUGACACUCAGGGACGAAAGCUAGGGGAGCGAAUGGG